AAAAAAUACAUUUUUUUCAUGGCUCAUGCGCAAGGAUACAGAGAAGAUUAGCAUAACCCCUGCAUAAGGAUGACAUGCACAAAUCGAGAAAUGGUCCAAAUUUUU